ensembl:processed_transcript Gm17200 predicted gene 17200
CCAGUUUCUCCCCUAGGUCAGAGGAAACAUUUAUAAAAACAAAACAGCAGAACCAAGAAACUAAUUCUCCGGGCACGGAAUUAUUUGUUUUUCCCUCCUGUGAUUCCAAGCCCAAACUAAGUCUUCACAUCUACAAACCAAUCCUUUUUAUUAAGAAAAAGUAAAAGAAAUCGCUCACGAUCCGUUUGACUUGUGUUUCAACUUGCGGUCGGGAACUUAAAUUUCGGAACUGCAAGUUGCACGACAAGUUCCUGAUAAGCAAUUUAGUGUCCUCUUUCACACCUCUGUAGACGGCACCGCACCUUUCCUCCCGGGACAGCAGGUUCCCGGCCGGCGCCGCCCUGCACCUGCUGGAGCCACAGUUCGGACUCGGGACCGCGAGGGUCAAUUUCUUAGGGCGAGAGUCCCCGCGCCGCGGCGUUCUCGGUUACAGGGGCCACCCGCCCUUGAACUUGAAGCGCACGGGACCAAACACUUGGCCGAGCUGGGGUGUUCGGGUCGGAACGCCACCCCGAGCGGAGGCUCGCGGGCCCGAAUGCCACCGCCGCUCGGUGUCCAGGCACCCGGCGGUCCCGCCUGUGCGCACUCACCUCCGCCGUGCAUCUGGCACAGUCUUCUGCUUUGGUUUAGACUUCCAGCAAAAUGUUGGUGUCAUCUGAGGAUAACAGAAUGCAGUGUUCUGGAGAUUAAAGGGGACUGUACAAGUAUAGAUGUUACCAGCUUCUCUAACAUUAAAAAGUUCACUCACUAACGCAAAAGGAUGGCUCUUCUUCCCACUCUAACCUGCUGUCUACCAUGAAGAAAUCUCACUGUACUAUGGAGGCUCUGGAGCAUAUGACAGAGGCGUAUUUGGGACAAUAGAAAAGAAUCAUUACAUUUUUUUUUCUCUUCGAAAUUACAGAACUGAAGAUAAGAAUGAUAGUUCUAAUAUCACAAGGAAAGCCUAAACAUUGGAAAAAGAACAGAAUAUGACAAAAUGCUUCUAAAUACAUGCCUGAGGUGAAUGGAGAUAGCUUGUAUGUUCAUGUGUGGCAGGUUCUAGACAAAAUCUCCAGUCUUUAAUCUUCAGAUUCAUAUCUGGAAAUAGAAUUGAGAGCAUAAUGUCCUUUUUGUUCUUGCUACUGCCAUGAGUGAAGUCCCUCUGGUAGCUAUCCCAGGAGUGCUAUUACUACUCAUUUUACAGCCCCACUGCAGCAGAAGUUAGUUAUACUCAAGGCUAGUGCUAUUAUGGUGACUUGGAGUCUACACCAGAUCACCUAAGAUAUCUUCAGAUUCUAGGCCUGCAUUUAAAAUUUAGACCCUUGAUAUCUUAGUACAAUUGCAACAAACCUAAAAUCAACAAGAACAGCUAACAUGUCUAUGAGUUAAGGGUUAGCAAACCUCCUCCCAAGACAAAUCUAAUCUUGAAUUCACUUUAUAGAUGUCUUCCCUGAGAACAAAUGCAAAAUGUCAGCUUCAGCUGGGUUUCUAUGCAAAGCCACUGAUGACAAAAUGACCCCAACUAGCAAAGGACAUCAGUGCCAGAACACUGCGAAGUAUAAAUACCUAGCGUUGCCUUGCUAGUUGCUGUUUCUGUGCCUUUGCCUGCAACUGAGUACAGUGUGGUGAGGAAAAAGGUCUAGCUGAGCCUAAAAGCAACCCUGUAGACUAAACAAUGGGCCAACUCGGGGCCUGACUUAUUGGCAAGUGGGGAGAGGAACCCCAAGCCAGGAGCAGCCAGCUUACUUUGCCAGUCUUUUCCGUAGGUCUUUGAUUUGAUCAUUCUUUUUGGUGAGAAUCUCUUUCAUGUUUCGAUAAGCUGCUGUUUGUUGAAAUUUCUUCUCUAACUCCUGUUUUAUGAAAAAUGUUGUCAGCCCAUUACUAAGGAACGUUAAGGGAAGAAUAACAAAUGUGAUAAAAAA